UACGUAGGGGGCGAGCGUUGUCCGGAGUUACUGGGCGUAAAGGGCAUGCAGGCGGUCGGACGCGUUUCGGGUGACAGCGGGUGGCUUAACUACCCGAGUGGUCGAAAGACGGUUUGACUUGAGGACGCGAGAGGGACACGGAAUUCCGGGUGGAGUGGUGAAAUGCGCAGAUAUCAGGAGGAACACCGGUGGCGAAGGCGGGUCUCUGGGCCGAAAUUGACGCUGAGGAGCGAAAGCGUGGGGAGCAAACAGG
rnacentral:rRNA from 1 species